rnacentral:rRNA from 1 species
UACGUAGGUGGCGAGCGUUAUCCGGAAUUACUGGGCGUAAAGCGCACGCAGGCGGCCUAUCAAGUCUGACGUGAAAGCUCCUGGCUUAACUGGGAGAGGUCGUUGGAAACUGAGGGGCUUGAGGCAAUGAGAGGGGUGUGGAAUUCCCGGUGUAGUGGUGGAAUGCGUAGAUAUCGGGGGGAACACCAGUGGCGAAAGCGGCACCCUGGCAUUGGCCUGACGCUCAUGUGCGAAGGCGUGGGGAGCGAACGGG